AGGACGAACGCUGGCGGCGUGCUUAACACAUGCAAGUCGAGCGGAAAGGCCCUUCGGGGUACUCGAGCGGCGAACGGGUGAGUAACACGUGAGUAAUCUGCCCCUAGCUCUGGGAUAGCUCCGGGAAACCGGGAUUAAUACCAGAUACGACCACUUUAGACAUCUGUUGUGGUGGAAAGAAUUUUGGCUAGGGAUGAGCUCGCGGCCUAUCAGCUUGUUGGUGAGGUAACGGCUCACCAAGGCGACGACGGGUAGCCGGCCUGAGAGGGCGACCGGCCACACUGGGACUGAGACACGGCCCAGACUCCUACGGGAGGCAGCAGUGGGGAAUAUUGCGCAAUGGGCGAAAGCCUGACGCAGCGACGCCGCGUGGGGGAUGAAGGCUUCGGGUUGUAAACCCUUUCAGCAGGGACGAAGCGAAAGUGACGGUACCUGCAGAAGAAGCGCCGGCUAACUACGUGCCAGCAGCCGC
rnacentral:rRNA from 1 species